AGUGAACGUUGGCGGCGUGGAUUAGGCAUGCGAGUCGAGCGAGAACCGUAGCAAUACGGGGACAGCGGCGAAAGGGACAGUAAUAUGUAGGUACCUACCCUCGGGACCGGGAUAGCUGCGGGAAACUGCAGGUAAUACCGGAUGACAUCUCCAGAUCAAAGGUGUGAUUCCGCCCGGGGAGGGGCCUGCAUCCUAUUAGCUUGUUGGUGGGGUAACGGCCUACCAAGGCGACGAUGGGUAGCGGGUGUGAGAGCAUGACCCGCGUCAUUGGGACUGAGACACUGCCCAGACACCUACGGGUGGCUGCAGUCGAGAAUCUUCGGCAAUGGGGGCAACCCUGACCGAGCGACGCCGCGUGCGGGAUGAAGGCCUUCGGGUUGUAAACCGCUGUCGUAGAGGAGGAAAUGCAGGGGGGUUCUCCCCUCUGUUUGACCUAUUCUAGGAGGAAGGACGGGCUAAGUUCGUGCCGGCCGCCGCAGUAA
rnacentral:rRNA from 1 species